GGGGGCGAUGGGAAUUGUAGUCCGACAACAGCUGGCCGCCCCUGGGCUAGGAUCCGUGUGCAGAGCAGCGCCUUGCGGCGGAGCGGGCUGAAAAUGCGGAGCGAAGCCACCACAUGUUCAGCCUUUGAAAAAAGUCAAUCAAAAAAAGUUAGUUCCAGUUAACUCCCAUGGCAAUGGCACAUGCAAACUAAUCCUAGCAAGUUUACUCAGAAGGAAGUCCUGAUGUAUUCGCCAUGAUCAGACUUACCCUCAGUGGACCUGUUGAAAACCCGCUGUACACAGAGACCUCCACCCUAUUCUCCCAUUACAAAAAUGGCAUGCAAGAAUAAAUCUCAUUCGAAGAGCCAAAAGGGGGGGGGGAAUCCUACUGAAGGUUAUUGGAGUCUGGAGCAAACUGAAAUGCAGAUAUCAGUGUCAAGGUGCAUGACAGAGUAACAGACAAAGCAAUAGAUUCCUGCCCUGAGGAACUUACAUUUCAGAUUCAUCACAGGGUGAAACAACAGAAGAAGUGGAAAGAUGGAGUUGAAGCAUCUCCAGCCCAAGGGAAGACUGAAUCUGUUGAAUUUCUGCCUGGCUACUCUUCAAGGCACAAAAGCCUGGAUGAAAAAAAGAAGACCCCAGCUCAGCAUGGGGGCCCCCCAAAUGCUGUGGCCCCCUGGCAGAGUACUUGCAGUAUGCUUAAACCAGCCCUGUUAAAAGCAGAGCAGUCUGCAAAAGAUAUCUGCGGAAGACUGAUACAUUGCAAUGCACGAGUUUGUAAAGAGCAGCAAAUGUCUGCAGCUGCAGCGAGAUCUGCCACAGCAAGAUGCGAAAAACCUACAAAAUCACCAGAUCUUUCUUGCCUCGCCAGUAUGAGAGGCGGUAGCGGGCACCAGCUCGAUCCUUUGCGUGUUACCUGGAAGGAUUUCUUUAAUAGCAUACACCGCCUCAGGUGCCUCGGGAGAAAAAAGGCGACUGACACAUUUUAUAUGUAAUCACAUCCUUGAAAGGAAAGCCCGAAAUCUAUCUUGGCCCUAUCAGCAAGCGACUUCUUAAACGUGUCCAGACGGAUCCAGUGCAGGUUUACUUGGAAGUAAGUCGCACUGAGUCCAACAAGAGUUACUGGCGAGUAAAUGAGGGUGCACAAGGUUGCAGCCGGAUAGCCUGAUUCUGUACAUAUUUACUCAGAAGUUAGUCUUACUGAGUUCAACGGGGCUUACUCACAGGUAAGUGUGAAUAUGAUUUCAGCAUUAAAAUGGUUUCCUAGCUUAGUGAUUAGUGAAAGUGGGUUCAACAAUUCGGCUUUACCUACAGGAGAGCUAAAACGUUCUGAAUUUUUUUUUACUGCCAAUGUGGUCGUAAG